CUAGGUCAGGACGACAAAGAGAGCCCAACCCAUCAAGCAAGAGUGUCCUAGAGCCACAAGCAACAAACUCCUCCGUGGCUAUCUCCAGUCCUUGGAGACCUUCCCAUGGCUUCCCUCCUUUCACUUGUCACAUAACGUCAUACACUCUUUCUUCGUCCUUCUUAUUCAAUUAUUUCUCGUUAGACAAGAGGCUGGUUUCUUGAUUUUCUCCAAGAAAUGGCAAACUUUGCUCUGAAAGCACACGGCUGUUGCUUUCUCUCUCACACCACAAACACACAUACUUCGUUUCUCAACGUCAAGCCCCAAAACUUGCAUUUAUUUCCCUCCAAGCGCAGCUUGAAAUUCAGGGUUGUGUGUAGCGUUAAAGAGAAAGAGAAUGUCGAGAAAAGCGAGAGGGUCUCUGAUGUUAUCACUGGACUCCGAGUGGACGGAUUGGAGCAGAGGAGUUCAACUACGGAUCCUGGGCUUCAAUCAGGAAAUGCUGGUGGCUCUAGAGAAGUGGGUUUUGAUUUGAAUUGCCCGCCAUGGAAUAAUAUUCCUCAGAGAUAUAAACUUAUUGGCACUGCUUCACUUGCCUUUGUUAUUUGUAAUAUGGACAAGGUAAAUUUGAGUGUUGCAAUUAUUCCAAUGUCUCACCAGUUUGGGUGGAACGCAUCUGUGGCUGGCCUGGUGCAAUCAUCCUUCUUUUGGGGAUAUGCAUUGAGUCAAUUACCAGGAGGUUGGUUAGCCAAGAUAUUUGGGGGCAGGAAAGUUCUUGAAAUUGGUGUGUUGACUUGGUCAUUGGCGACUGCAUUUCUUCCAUCACUUGCUGGUUUUAUGCCUGGACUUGUCUUGUCAAGGAUUUUGGUUGGAAUAGGAGAAGGUGUUUCCCCAUCAGCUGCAACUGACCUUAUUGCCAGAUCAAUACCUUUGGAAGAGCGCUCACGGGCUGUAGCAUUUGUCUUUGGUGGACUGAGUAUAGGAAGUGUCACAGGGCUUCUUUUGGCUCCUCCCCUCAUUCAAAAUUUUGGUUGGGAAUCUGUAUUUUACAUUUUUGGCUUUCUUGGAUUAGCUUGGUUUUUGAUAUUUCAGUUUCUUAAAGAGGAACAAGCUUCAUAUGCUUCUGUACCCUCAUCAAGGCCCCAGUCUAUCAAUUUGGAUAAAUCAUGGAAUACUUCUCUUGCAGAAUUGGGUGAUUCACUGAAGGAAAUACCAUGGAAUGCAUUUUUCCAGAGUAAAGCCGUGUGGGCUAUGAUAUAUGCUCAUUUUUGUGGAAGCUGGGGUCACUAUACUUGUUUAUCUUGGCUUCCUUCUUAUUUUAGUGAGGAGCUGAACUUAAAUUUGACAGAAGCUGCAUGGGUUUCCAUUCUUCCUCCUUUGGCUUCAAUUUUCGUAACUAGCAUUGCUGCACAGCUUGCUGACAACUUAAUUGCCAAUGGAGUUGAAACAACUACGGUGCGAAAGACUUGCCAAGCAGUUGCCUUUUUGUCUCCUGCCGUUUGCAUGACUCUCUCCUCUGUAGAUCUAGGGCUGCCCCCUUGGGAAAUUGUGGGGAUUCUAACCGGUGGCUUGGCCCUCUCAAGCUUUGCCCUGUCUGGACUAUAUUGCACGCAUCAAGAUAUAUCUCCUGAAUAUGCAAGUAUACUGUUGGGUAUUACAAACACUGUUGGAGCAAUACCUGGGAUUGUUGGUGUUGCCUUGACUGGUUAUCUUCUUGACACAACCCAUUCAUGGAGUAUGUCAUUGUUUGCGCCAUCAAUCUUUUUCUACUUGACUGGUACGGUUGUAUGGUUGGUAUUUGCAAGCAGUAAGCCUCAAAACUUUUCCAACAGAGAUUAAUUUGGAUCCUGAGUUCAGGGUGACAUUGUUGUAAGACUUGCCACAUAAAGCAGAUGUGUGUCUCCAUACUACAAAGGAGUGAAUUAUAUUUGCAAAUAUAAGUAUGACUAGUUCAUAUAAUGACUUGUACUAUAUUCUUCAUCAAGAAAAAAUAAUGUGACAUUUGCAUGUAUUCUAUCUCUUAUUUGAUCAAUCAUUAUAAGGAACCAGUUUCAGUUCCACCUAGUACUACCUAGUUGCAAGCAGGGACAACAUAUGGCAAGUGUGCAAAUACAACAGAGAAAGGUGCAACCAUUAUUGGCUUUGAUAAAUUUACAUUCAGAGGAUCCAAGACAGAAAAGUUCAUCGACAGAACAUUUCUACCCAUCAAUCGGUUCCAGAGAAGAGCACUGCAGUGAAGAGAGAAAAGUGCCCAAGUAAGAAAUCUCAGCUGUUUCAGUUGGGAUAAAAAGAUCGAAGUUUAGAUUUGUGUUCUAACUAGUGAUGAGCCAAUCUAGUUCUUUAUCAAGUUCUAUUAAGCAGGAUUUACUGCUCUUAAUUUUAAUAUAACAACUGCACUUCCUUAUUUCUACCUGAAUGUAUAUUUGCUUUCAGAAUCAGCUCAAAAUCAUUGGCUUUAAGGCUUGUUUCCAAUCAAUUGAAUUAAGCUUUUGAAUGAAA